AACGAACGCUGGCGGCAGGCCUAACACAUGCAAGUCGAGCGCCCGCAAGGGAGCGGCGGACGGGUGAGUAACGCGUGGGAACGUGCCUCUUGCUUCGGGAUAGCCUCGGGAAACUGGGGGUAAUACCGAAUGUGCCCUACGGGGGAAAGAUUUAUCGGCAAGAGAUCGGCCCGCGUUGGAUUAGGUAGUUGGUGGGGUAAUGGCCUACCAAGCCGACGAUCCAUAGCUGGUUUGAGAGGAUGAUCAGCCACACUGGGACUGAGACACGGCCCAGACUCCUACGGGAGGCAGCAGUGGGGAAUCUUAGACAAUGGGCGCAAGCCUGAUCUAGCCAUGCCGCGUGAGCGAUGAAGGCCUUAGGGUUGUAAAGCUCUUUCGUGGGGGAAGAUAAUGACUGUACCCCAAGAAGAAGCCCCGGCUAACUCCGUGCCAGCCGCCGCGGUAA
rnacentral:rRNA from 1 species